rnacentral:rRNA from 1 species
UACAGAGGGUGCGAGCGUUGUCCGGAAUCACUGGGCGUAAAGGGCGCGUAGGCGGCUUGAUAAGUAGGGGGUGAAAUCUUGCGGCUCAACUGCAAGGCUGCCUCCUAAAUUGACAGGCUUGAGCACAGUAGAGGCAGGUGGAAUUCCCGGUGUAGCGGUGGAAUGCGUAGAGAUCGGGAAGAACAUCGGUGGCGAAGGCGGCCUGCUGGGCUGUUGCUGACGCUGAGGCGCGACAGCGUGGGGAGCAAACAGG